GAGUCACAGUGAUGAAUCAGUCAUAGGGAUGAGUUAGUCAGCAGAGCAGGUGUGGGUGAACGCUUUGCAGCGGGCGACAGUGUUGGAGCAGGUGUGGGUGAACCCUUUGCAGCGGGCGACAGUGUUGGAGCA